rnacentral:rRNA from 1 species
CAGCCGCCACGGUAAUACGAAGGGUGCAAGCGUUACUCGGAAUUACUGGGCGUAAAGCGUGCGUAGGUGGCGGUUUAAGUCCGUUGUGAAAGCCCUGGGCUCAACCUGGGAAUUGCAGUGGAUACUGGGUCACUAGAGUGUGGUAGAGGAUAGUGGAAUUUCCGGUGUAGCAGUGAAAUGCGUAGAGAUCGGAAGGAACAUCUGUGGCGAAGGCGACUAUCUGGGCCAACACUGACACUGAGGCACGAAAGCGUGGGGAGCAAACAGGAUUAGAGACCCCGGUAGUCCCUGUCUCUUAUAC